AUGUGUUGCAGCUAUGGAAUGGUGAAAGGGCGAAUCUUGAAGCCUGCCUUUGCUUUCACCAGUCAGGAUUUGGGAUUUCUCUUGAGCUUUGCCAAUUCCGCAGCAAGAAUGAAGCCCAUCAACCUGUUCUUCGCAGCCUGUGGGUUUCUGGGCACUUACCACUUGGGGGCGGCAGCUGCCUUUUGUAGGCACGGCAAGGAACUCCUGAAGAAUGUCCAGGCUUUCGCAGGGGCCACUGCAGCAUCCUUGGUUGCUUCUGUCCUGCUAACGGCACCAGGAAAAAUAGAGGAAUGCAAUGAAUUUACCUAUAAGCUGGCCGCGGAAACCAGAAGGCAGUUUCUCAGGGCAGUGACACCGGGUUAUGACUUCAUGGCCCGCCUGAGGAGCGGGAUGGAGUCCAUUCUUCCUACUAACGCCCAUGAGCUGGCCCAGAAUCGACUGCACGUGUCUAUCACCAACACCAAGCCCGGCAGAAUUACCUGGUCUCAGAUUUUUCCUCCAGGGAAGACCUCAUUAAGGUCCUCCUGGCUAGGAGCUUUGUGCCCAUUUACGCCAGACUGAGACCAGUGGAAUACCAAGGACAGGUCUCCUCAAAGCGAGUAGAAAACUUGUCACCACCUAAAUAUGAAGUCACCUGUUCCUGCCCGCUCCUGCCUGGAAUCAACUAAUGUCUGGGUAGACUGCGUCCUCUAAGAGCCCCUUCUGUAAACGCAGAACUGAGUCUCCGUAAAAGCUGGCCUCCUGAAAAUGCUCACACUGACGACAUUUGCAUCUUAAGGAUGUCUUAGGCGCCUGCCAUUCUGCUAUGUUUUUUGAAAGUGGAUUUUACCCCUCACAAACACACUGCAAGAAUAGUAUUUUUGAAACUUGUUAUUAGUAAUUUGAUUUCAAUAUGUAUGAAGGCAUGAACAGCUAUUUUGAAGAAAAGGAGACAUUAUGGUAGCCAUCAUGAAUUUCCUAGUGACUGGUCUUGAAAGCUCUUAAGGCUCUCAUUCUUGGGUUUUGAUUGCUUUUAUACUCUUAUUUUGUAUUAACUUAUUGUGUGUGAAGGUAUGCACAACUGUUUUUGAAGAGAGCAAGAGACAUUAUGGCAACGACUGUUGAUUUUCUGCUGUAUUUUUCUGAAAUCAUGUGUUAUUUGCAUUGCUUUAUUCUGCUCUGCUUGGUUCUAUUUUGUUUUAUUCUCUUUGAAAUAAAAAUAUUUUUUGAAAUAAAAUUAAUUUUAAUUAUUAUUAUUAGCAUAAGUUUGCACACACAGUGAAUAUAUUUUUGCGAGGUAUGGAUACAAAUACAUACAGCAUUUUGAUCUUUGUUUUUCUUCCCUCUUUCCAAUAUUCACAGUCUUUCAC
rnacentral:lncRNA from 1 species